UCCUACGGGACGCAGCAGUGAGGAAUAUUGGUCAAUGGGCGCGAGCCUGAACCAGCCAAGUAGCGUGAAGGAUGACUGCCCUACGGGUUGUAAACUUCUUUUAUAAAGGAAUAAAGUGAGGCACGUGUGCCUUUUUGUAUGUACUUUAUGAAUAAGGAUCGGCUAACUCCGUGCCAGCAGCCGCGGUAAUACGGAGGAUCCGAGCGUUAUCCGGAUUUAUUGGGUUUAAAGGGUGCGUAGGCGGCAUUAUAAGUUAGUGGUAAAAUAUUGGGGCUUCACCUCACUACGCCAUUAAUACUGUAGAG
rnacentral:rRNA from 1 species